ensembl:lncRNA
UGUUGUUAAAAUGUCUUUAUUCAUUCCAGUUAUACAAAACAUUGUUUCAAUUGUCCGUAAAAAAUACCUUUUUUUCUGUCUCUUUUUUCUUCUGUUAUGUAUUGUCCCUCUUGAGUUAACAUAGUUCAAUGGCCUAGGAUGUACAACCAGGGGUUCAGGGGACAUUUGACCAGGGCCCCUAGCGCUGCAUGAGUUGGCACAGGCGUCAAAGCAUGAUGGGUGGCUCCUGGUAAAGCGUGCAGUCCCCCCGAAAAUAGGAGUGGAACCAGGGGUCCCCAAAGCUCCCUAAGAUGCACACAACAGACUUCUUUGAUUGUACCGAACUAUAGUAUGACCUUGGUGUUAGGCUCAUGCAACGGAGACAACACACACACAACCCCACACGCACGCACACACACCCACAUGAACACACACACACACACACACACACACACACACACACACACACACACACACACACACACACACACACACACACACACACACACACACACACACACACACACACACACACCUCGGAUCUCCUCACCUAAAAUGUAUUUUAUUUUUAUACACUUUUCAGGUUUCGUUAAAAAAAAAGGUAUAUUGCAGUCAUUUUCAAUUAUCAAUUUAAAUUGGGUUACAAUUAUUAUUGCACAAAUGUAUUUCUAAUACCGCAUACCACAAAAAGGAAAAUCAUAGAAUGGAAGGAAACAAUCGAAUCACAAAUUCAACUCAUUGAUUAAUAAAUAUCACAAAUAUGCCAUGUGUCAUUUUACAGUUGAAAUGUUGACGAAAGAGAGAGAUCACAGACCGAUGAACAUCAACCGGAGAAGGGCCAUUGAGGAGAAUUGAAUCAUGCCAGUGGAUCUCUGCAGAGGGGCGAGCGCGGAGGGAAUGAUGUGGGGAGUGGGUGAUAUGUUGCCAUGGAGAUCGUGCAUAAUUGCAAUGUGGCGCUGACACAUUAUCUUAAGUGUAUGUGUGUAAGAGUGUGUGGGUUUGAGAAAACAGAAAGAAGAGUGAGUGAGUGUGCAUGUGUGUGCCUUGUCAAAAUGCUCACAUGCAAGACUAUAGAACGAGCAUUGUGAUUGCUAAUCCCUGCUAACGACAACAAUAUAAAAAAAAAGGAAGAGGCAGCCCAGCUAAUGAAGAGGCACUUGGAGUGUACACAGACAGACCCCAUACAGCUCAACAGUUCCUUCCACUCGACGCACCACGGCGCCGUCAAUAUCAUAACGACAUUAUUAUUAAUAGUAUCAAUACUAUUUAUGUUACAGCUCCAGGAAGUGGACAUCUUUGCUCUAGGUUAAUUUGCCCUAUACACGACAGGAAUUUCGAACACGGCAUCAAAAACAAUUUUUGAGACAAAAAAUUGACAAAAAAUGAUAAAAUUAGACAAAAAAACACAUUGAAUCUGUUAAGACAUUAAAUUAGGAUCUUAUAUUACAAUUAAUUGUGUUAAAUAUAUAUAUAUUAAAUUGAUAAAUAUUUUCUUCCCAAGCCAAGGGGCCAGACACUGAUCAAUGCCUGUCAGACCGCGUGGAGCGGGCUAACGGAAGACUCACUCUGAGAGCAGUCCCACUGUGAGAGCAGUCUCACUUUGAGAGCAUUCUCCCUAAGAGAGCUGUCGCACUCUGAGAGCACACUCACUCGGAGAACAGUUUCACUGUGAGAGCAGUCUCACUGUGAGAGCAGUCUCCCUCAGAGAGCAGUCUCACUGUGAGAGCACACUCACUCGGAGAACAGUCUCACUGUGAGAGCACACUCACUCGGAGAACAGUUUCACUGUGAGAGCAGUCUCACUCUGAUGGCAGUCUCACUGUGAGAGCGGUCUAACUCUGAGCGCAGACUCAGUCUGAGAGCAGUCUCAUGCUGAGAAGCUCAAUGGAGGUACUACUUGUCACCCCGACAUGCACCUCAGUGUCCAGAGCUCCCCCCCCCCCCCACACACACACACUGGGGCUGAUGUAGCUCAUCGUUCUUCUGGUCAUACUUUCUGAAACCAUAGAGAGGAUCUUGCAGCCUCUUGAGUCACAUGCAGCGCUACAUGCUGAAGCCAUGCUGUCUCACAUGUCCCUGCAUUUCGUGAUGAGCACGUCUACAUAGAUAUUUUGUGCAUGUGUGUUGUGUGGUUUAAGGCCUCAUAGCAACAUAUCAGGGCUGAUAAGACGUCUUCACCCAUUCCAUCAAAAACAAGAAAAGAUCCGAGCUAAAAUAAUUGAAAACAGAGUCCAUCUGAGACUUUAAAAGCUCUUCAAGUCAGGUACUGGUCUGCAAUGGAGAGCGAAAUAGGGAGAGAGAGAUAUAAGGCCGAGAGGAGAGAGCCCUUCUCCUGUCCCUGGAUGAGCAGCGUUUGAGGAGGAGCCCAGCGCCCUGCACAUUCAUUAUUAAGAGCGCUAUACUCCUGGUUCCUCUCUCCCUCCCUCCAGCCCUCCUCCAGCCAGGCACUCCGCUGAGAGCUCCCAUACAGACAUGGCCGUCAUGGGGAGGAAAACCUGAGGACUGGGACGGCAGGGGUAGGGUUGGCAUGGUGAUGUUAGAAGAUCCAGCCUCUUCUCUUGGACCCAAAGAGCCGCUUCGCUGCCAGGGCCUUGGUACAUAUAUAUUGAUAUCUAUAUUGAAAUAUAUAUCAAUAUAUCCAUCUAUCUAUAUCUAUAGAUAUAUCUGUAUAUAGUUAUAUAUAUAUAUCCUAUCUCUAUAUAAGAAAUUUAUAUAUAUAUAUAUAUAUAUAUAUAUAUAUAUAUA